AAGGAGACCCCCCCCCCCCCCUCGGCAACUGAGGAUCAUCUUCUUCAUGAAGAAUUAACACAACUGAAACACUACUCCUUCUUCAAAGACCAGCAACCAUGUCCCUUGAUUUGAAAAGUGAUAUCUGACUCUCAUUUGAAAGAACAAAAAGUAGCAGACUUAUGAAUUCCUAAUUCACAAAGAGGAGAGAAAAAUGGCAGCUAAGACCCAAUUCAAAAGAGGAGGAUUCAACGGCAUAUCCCAAAAAAGAGAGAUCAUCCUCGAUCUUCAUCUCUCAAGUUCCACACCCAAUUUCAAAAAAUAAUGACCUAGACAUUUCCCUUCAUCAAAAAUCAGUUGUUAAAUAAAAAAACAAGUUUCAGCCGAGUCCAUCAUGGUCGUUAAGUUCGUCGUUCGAGUACUCCUAUCGCGGGUCUUGUUCAAGUUCUUUAUCCGGGUUGUAAUAUCUGGGAUUCGUGUAUUUUGAUGACAUUGGAAGCUUUGCGUUUUGAUCUAUUGAAGAAUAUUAUUUGCUGAGUAUAUAGGUUCAUUCUCACCUUUCCUAAAAUUUUUGUUUGUUCAUGAAUAUUUUCCAUGUGUUGUAUUUGGGUUCUGUUAAUGCAGUUUUGAUGAAUUCAUGAAUGCUUAAUUGUGAAUGAAUUUGGACAACUGUAUGUUUCGAGUUUAAUUAGAAUUAAAAAUUUUGGUUUUCAGUUUUUUUAAAAUAGGUAAUUUACUAAAAGGGGAUCUGGCCCGGUAAGAAAAUAAUUGGGGUUGUUGAUUAUCAAUUACUCGAAGCAUGAAUUUUGGUCCUUAAACAAAGUGAUUAAUUGAAAAGUUGUAGACCUUUAACAUAUUUCUUUAGAGAAAUUGAUGAGUUGUUUCAUUACUGAAAGAUUAAAUAAUUGUAGCUAUAAUAGAUGUUAAACGUGUAAACAAUUGUUUGUGUUUUUAGGAACCACAAGAACAUUAGCCGUCGUUUUUUCUUUCAUUUGAACUAGAAAGCAAACUAAUUUGUAGAAAUUCGUUAAAGCAUGUGAAUCUUUGCGAGUUUCAAUAACAAAGCAUAUAGGACUAAUAUUUAAUAUUGUACCAACUUGUUGUAGACGGUCAAGAGAAUUAGUCGUUGUCUAUUUUAUUACUAAUAAUGUGAGAUUAAUAAUAAAUUAUCAUAGCUACAAGUACGGUUCCCGUGACGUAGUUGUGACGCUUAGUUUCUAAACUCCAGGGAUACAUUUAUGUGACCUAGCCAUAAUUUAAUCUUGUUAAUAAAAUAAACAUGGUGUGGGUCGUUGGUACGGUUCCCGUGAUAUGAUUUGCAACGUGUAAAUCAAAUAAUUGGUUGUAUAACAAUUGGAUUAUUAAAAGCGGUUUAAAAAGGAAUAAAAUGCACAUAGGUUUCAAGAAUGUUUUAAAAUCAGAUAAAAAGGCCAAUAAUAAUAGUUGAGUGACCGUGCUAAAACUACGAAACCCGGGAAUGCCUAACACCUUCUCCCGUGUUAACAAAAUUUCUUACCCGAAUUUUUGUGUUCGCAGACCAUAAAUAAGAGUCAAACUUUCUCGAUUCGGGAUUCUAAACCGGUGACUUGGGACACCAUAAAUUAUCCCAAGUGUCGACUCUGAAUAAAUAUAAAUAAUACUGUUUUGGUUAUUGUCACUUUAAUUGGAAAUACUCCCCUAUACCGCUUCCGGUGGGUAGAAAAAGGAGGUGUGACAGCUCUGGCGACUCUGCUGGGGACAAGAACCCAGAAUCUCUGGUCAGGGUUCAAGAAUUCGAGCUUAGAAUAAUUGUUAUAUUUGGCUUUUAUUUAUUAUCUGAUUUUAUUAGAUGCUUGGGCCUAAUGUGCUAAAUGCCGCUUUUUACUGCUUUGAUAUUAUUUGAAAUAUAUAUAAACUGUUGUGAAACCCUUAUCUUCUCAUCUUCGGGGAAGUGCACGCUGGCGUGACUUCUUUUCUGUUAGUGUCAUACCUUAAAUUAGGAAGAGGCUCAGACAAGUUACAAAGACGGAUGGCCUUUUGGUUCCCGGUACGUAGCCCCCCUGCUCGAGUUGUCCACUCGGGUGUACCAAGUCUAGAAUAAUACACCCAGGUUUCAAACCUAGAAUAACUCAGCCUCAUGUCGGAUCCCUAGUAGGAACAUCAUGUGCAUUUGACUUUGGGGACUCAACACAAGGGUUGGGUCCGUCUAGGACAAGUGUACCCAAAGAAUAAAAGAUCAUCCAGAUGCAUCCUAUGUGCUACAUGUUACAAUUUUCAAGGGUAAAAGAGGUCAUUUGGUGGACUAAUGAGGUUUGAUGAUAAAUGAAAAAAAGGGUGAAGUGUUAUAAAAUAAAGCAAGUAGGGCCCAGUUAUGUUUUUCUUUCAUAUUUGUUUUAAAGAAAAACAAAAAGAACCAUGAAAAAUCCAAAAAGAUUUUGCACUUUCCCAUCAUUUUCCAAAAAAAAUCAAAAAAAGAGGGAAAAAAAAUCCAAAAAGAGUUUACAUGUUUCAUCAUUUUUCUAUACAAAAGACAAAAAAAUAUAUUUUCUCUAAAUUAGUUGUUUUUUUAUUUUUUUAUUUCUCACCCGUAUCCAAUCUUCCCGAACUGCGCGAACCUGAUUCUCGUCUCUCGGGGCAUGAUACGUAGGCUUCGCGGGGUCUUAGCCAAAUCUUGUAUUUUUAGCUACUUUUAGCCAAAUAGGUUAAUUUUAGAAAAAUAGUCACAAUCAUGUUUUGCAUGUGUCCAACAGCAAGGGUUAUUGUCUCACAUAGCGUUCUAGGUCUUUAACUUUAUUUGGUCUUAAUUUUCUCAUACAGGUGUAGACUUACUUACCGGAGUUUGAGCAUGGCAAACAUCCCAGGACUGUCUGGUCAGGACCUUUGCAUCCAGGAGUUGCUUCAGGAGAAAUUUUUUAUAUUUUUAGUCUGUUUCUUUUUUUAUGUUGUCUUGUACUUUAUAGUUAUGUCCAGUAGCAAUGAUCUUUUAGUUGGUGUCGGAGUUUGUCG
rnacentral:lncRNA from 1 species